GCACAAUGGGCGCAGCUGAUGCAGCCAUGCCGCGUGUGUGAAGAAGGCCUUCGGGUUGUAAAGCACUUUCAGUCAGGAGGAAAGGUUAGUAGUUAAUACCUGCUAGCUGUGACGUUACUGACAGAAGAAGCACCGGCUAACUCCGUGCCAGCAGCCGCGGUAAUACGGAGGGUGCGAGCGUUAAUCGGAAUUACUGGGCGUAAAGCGUACGCAGGCGGUUUGUUAAGCGAGAUGUGAAAGCCCCGGGCUCAACCUGGGAACUGCAUUUCGAACUGGCAAACUAGAGUGUGAUAGAGGGUGGUAGAAUUUCAGGUGUAGCGGUGAAAUGCGUAGAGAUCUGAAGGAAUACCGAUGGCGAAAGGCAGCCACCUGGGUCAACACUGACGCUCAUGUACGAAAGCGUGGGGAGCAAACAGGAUUAGAUACCCUGGUAGUCCACGCCGUAAACGAUGUCUACUAGAAGCUCGGACACCUCGGUUCUGUUUUUCAAAGCUAACGCUUAAAGUAGACCGCCUGGGGAGUACAGCCGCAAGGUU
rnacentral:rRNA from 1 species